CGCGCUUCGUCAGGAGAGAGCCCCGCGCGACGGGGCCGCCGAAGGCGCAGGAUUCCGCAAAGGCUUCCGAACGCUCAGGCAAAAGGACUGGCGGCACGCC
rnacentral:ncRNA from 1 species